rnacentral:lncRNA from 1 species
UCUUGGGGGAAAAAUGGGAGGAAAUGGGGAAAAAAUCUUGGGAAAAUGGGAAAAGAAAAUAGAAAAAACCUUGAGAAAAUGGGGGAAAAUCCUGGGGAAAUGGUGCAAAAGGGAAAUAACCUGUGCAGAUGUGGAGCUGCUGCCGUUUGCUCCCCGCAGGAAAAGAGGCCGGGCAAGAUUCCGGGGCUGCGGCCUCGGCCGCGCUGGAAAUUCCGGAAUCCUCCGAUCCCAACGAUCCCCAAAUUCCCCAAAUUCCCCAAAUUGCCCAAAUUGCCCAAAUUGCCAAAAGCUCCGCAGAGCCCGAGGGAGCAGAGGAGGCCGGGACAGCCGCAGAGGCGGGGCCGGAGCCUGCGGUGAGCGAGGAAGGCGCCGAUCCCGGCAGGAAGGAUGCCCCCGAGCAGAGCUGCGUGCUGCUGCUGUCCAACCUGCCGGGAUUGGGAUGGGGAUUGGGAUCAGGAUCAGGAUUAGGUUUGGGAUCAGGAUUGGGAUCGGGAUCAGGAUCAGGAUCAGGUUUAGGAUCAGCAUUAGGAUCAGGAAUUGCAUGUCCCUACAGGAUGCCCCCGAGCAGAGCUGCGUGCUGCUGCUGUCCAACCUGCCGCCCGGGGGCUCCCUCCCGCCGAAGCUCUGCAGCCUGGCCGAGCCCCUUUUGAGGGACCUGCUCGGCCCUCCUCCCACAAACAGGCACGGCCGUCUGGGGCUCCU